UUUCAGGAAGCCUUCUGCACGGCUCGUGCUUCGUGUGCUACGGGACUUUUCUAGCGCUGGGUCAGGCCACACGAUCCUGUCUGAAGCUAUCAGUGAUUUCGACACGUCACAGCCAAGCAUACCGCAGCACGAGUGUUCUCUGGAAACCUUGGCAGACGGAACGCCUACUUAAACGGCCCACAGUGCACGGCGCUCUGCAGUCGGUGGCGAUUCAGCGACCAAACACUGACGAUUCUUAUUUUACAGGUGUCAUGACGGAAGCGAGCACAUUCGGUGAUUUGUCGGCGAAUUCG